rnacentral:rRNA from 1 species
UGGGGAAUAUUGGACAAUGGGCGCAAGCCUGAUCCAGCAAUGCCGCGUGUGUGAAGAAGGCCUGAGGGUUGUAAAGCACUUUCAAUUGUGAAGAAAAGUUUAAGGUUAAUAACCUUAAACCCUGACGUUAACUUUAGAAGAAGCACCGGCUAACUCCGUGCCAGCAGCCGCGGUAAUACGGAGGGUGCGAGCGUUAAUCGGAAUUACUGGGCGUAAAGAGUACGUAGGUGGCUUGGUAAGUCGGAUGUGAAAGCCCUGGGCUCAACCUGGGAACUGCAUUCGAUACUGCCUGGCUAGAGUAUAGUAGAGGGAAGUGGAAUUCCGGGUGUAGCGGUGAAAUGCGUAGAUAUCCGGAGGAACACCAGUGGCGAAGGCGGCUUCCUGGACUAAUACUGACACUGAGGUACGAAAGCGUGGGGAGCAAACAGGAUUAGAUACCCUGGUAGUCCACGCCCUAAACGAUGUCAACUAGCCGUUGGAGGAAUUUAAUCCUUUAGUAGCGCAGCUAACGCGAUAAGUUGACCGCCUGGGGAGUACGGUCGCAAGAUUA